CCUACGGGGUGCUGCAGUGAGGAAUAUUGGUCAAUGGACGAGAGUCUGAACCAGCCAAGUAGCGUGAAGGAUGACUGCCCUAUGGGUUGUAAACUUCUUUUAUAAAGGAAUAAAACGAGGCACGUGUGCCCUUUUGCAUGUACUUUAUGAAUAAGGAUCGGCUAACUCCGUGCCAGCAGCCGCGGUAAUACGGAGGAUCCGAGCGUUAUCCGGAUUUAUUGGGUUUAAAGGGAGCGUAGAUGGGUUGUUAAGUCAGUUGUGAAAGUUUGCGGCUCAACCGUAAAAUUGCAAUUGAUACUGGCAGUCUUGAGUACAGUUGAGGUAGGCGGAAUUCGUGGUGUAGCGGUGAAAUGCUUAGAUAUCACGAAGAACCCCGAUUGCGAAGGCAGCUUACUAAACUGUGACUGACAUUGAUGCUCGAAAGUGUGGGUAUCAAACAGGAUUAGAUACCCGGGUAGUC
rnacentral:rRNA from 1 species